GCCAGAUGAUCCAAGGCUGCAGUGGAGACCUAGAGGAGGCCAGAGCUGGGAACUGGGAGUGCGUGGCUCUGUCCCCUGCAGAUGUGGAGGGCAAGACAGCACCGACUAGCUGCCCCAGCAAGCAUGCCCUGCUCCCCUCUCUUCAGGCAUCUCUCCACUUUGCCUCCUCCCUGAGAUGGAGAGACUUGUCUGUCUCUGGCCACCCCUCUUCCCAUUUCCAAGCCUUCUGAGUUUACCAGGGAAUUCACAAGGAAAUUGACUGAGUAGUGAAGACAAGUAUAAGGAAGAGGAUAAAAAGGAAACAAACAAAUCCAACAGAAAACAAGAGAGGGGGACAGAAAGCUGAGUGUGUCUCCUUCCAGAUCCCUAGGUUCCACACAGAUGGGUAUUAUCUUCCCCACCGCCAGUAAAUGAAAAAAUACAAUUCUUGGUAAUUACCUUUGCUACAUGCCAUAUAAGAAACUUCAGAAAUGUUUCUACAGAGGGAAGAAACUGUUUACAAAACUCUUUCAAAAGUGUGACAUAUUGGUCUAGUUCAGCACUAAAAAGCUAAAUAUACUUAUUCUCCUUUGAAGUGGCCCGGCUGGGGCAGCUAAUUUGAGUGUUGUUCAGAUAUUGCUGUGGGUAUAACUAAUGGCUUCUACCCAUUUAGCUCAAGUGGGUGGAGAGAAAGGCCUGAAUUCCUUGUCCAAUGGGUCCCUCUGGAGACUGGGUUCUGGCUCCCGGCCAGUUCUAUACAAUGUCAACAUUGAAUAUUUGAAUUCCCAGACUCUAUUUAACAAGUUUCUAAAUAAAUAAAUUCAUUGUGUG